UCGCCGGGUGGAAAGCAUUC
rnacentral:miRNA from 1 species